CUACGGGUGGCUGCAGUGAGGAAUAUUGCACAAUGGGGGGAACCCUGAUGCAGCAACGCCGCGUGGAGGAUGACGCAUUUCGGUGUGUAAACUCCCUUUAUAUGUCAAGAAAAUGACGGUAGCAUAUGAAUAAGCACCGGCUAACUCCAUGCCAGCAGCCGCGGUAAUACGGAGGGUGCAAGCGUUACUCGGAAUCACUGGGCGUAAAGGACGCGUAGGCGGGUUGGAAAGUCAGGUGUGAAAUCCUACAGCUUAACUGUAGAACUGCACUUGAAACUUCUAAUCUAGAGUAUGGGAGGGGGAGAUGGAAUUAGUGGUGUAGGGGUAAAAUCCGUAGAUAUCACUAGGAAUACCUAAAGCGAAGGCGAUCUCCUGGAGCAUUACUGACGCUAAGGCGUGAAAGCGUGGGGAGCAAACAGGAUUAGAUACCCCCGUAGUC
rnacentral:rRNA from 1 species